rnacentral:lncRNA from 1 species
UCCGGCUUCUUGUUUACCUUUAUAGGAGUGAAGGCUCCUGUCAACAGCUAGUCUAAGAGGUCGAACAUCCCACGAGACCCAGCACAGAAGGCCAGCCUCCCUGAUGUCCGACACAGAAGGCCAUGCAUAGGAAAUUGGUGCUGUGAGGUUGUUUCCUUGAACACCCCACAGGGACUGCCAAGUUACGAUUUCCUGAGACAGCCUGGAAGCUCUGCAGCUGGAAUGCCUCGGGAUGCCUCCUAAGCCCAGCCAGACUCCUUUUCAAAGUCUUCCAAACAGACCCAGAUAUGGCAAGCUUACCAAAGGAGGAUGCCCAAUUUGCCUCCAUCUUCAUUCGAGGCCAAGCACAGAUGGAUUUCUACUAAGACAGUAUUUUGGUGCUACAUCAAUUGAGGCACGUGGACGACAGACAGAGAUCUUCUGCCUAGAAGUUGAAAAUCAUUUCUUUUUCUAUUUCAAUAUCUGCCAACACCCUUGAGGGGCCUGCCGGCAUCCAUAGCCUGCUCAUAGCAAAAGCCUCGCGAUUCUAGAGGGGGAACCCCUCCAUUCAGUCCAUGUGACUUGGAGCUGAUCCUGUCCUCCCACACAGGAGUUAAGAAAUGACUGGGCCUGGCAAAUCCAACUUCUAAUAGCUUAACAUGCUUGAUUCAGAGAUGAGCAUAUGACUGAGCUAACCCAAUGAGAAAAUACCUUACUUUGAAACCUUGACUGAGAAUUUCUGAACUUGGUAGGCCAUGGUCCUGGAGCUUGUGGUCAUUUGGUGCCGCCAGAAAGUAGAAGGUGGCUAGAAGUAAAGCCGGAGGUAAGACGGUGUCUACAAGAUCAACGUUCUUUCUGUACUGGCUCCAACCCAGAACGUUUCCUGGACUUCCCCAUUCCAUGAGCCAUAGCUACUGGGAAGACUUUUAUAAAGAACAUUUUUUAGACAGUAGCUAUCACAGUGUCCAGUUAAAUAGGAAGAAUAAGGAAAGACGAAGGUUGGGGGUCAAUUAACGUUUUGUCUCUAGGAAUGUCCCUUACUCUCACUGUACUGUGGGGAGUAGAACGCCACCCUCCCUUUCUCUUUCUCUCUCUCAGAUGUAUUUGUUUUUAUUUUAGGUGUAUGAAUGUUUCACCUGCAUGUAUAUCUGUUUAUCACAUGUAUGCCUGGUGCCUGCAGAGGCCAGAAGAGGGCAUCAUAUCACUUAAAACUGGAGUAACAUGAGCCGCCAUGUGAAUGCUGGAAAUUAAACCCGGGUUCUCUGAAAAAGCAGCCAGUGCUGUUAACAACUGAGCCACCAC